GUUUGGUUCAAUAUUUUUAUAAUUUUCUUAAAUUAUCUUUUGAGUUUGGAGAAAUAACUUCCGAAAUAGUAUAAUUUUCUUAAAAUAUAUAUGAUGUGCUUGUAAUUAAUCUAAUAGAGAUUUUUUUUUAUUUUUAUAUUUACUAAUGAAAGAGGUUGUAACUUUGAAUCAGACAAAGAGUGUGUCUAUGUGCAUAAAUGUAUCACUUAACUUUUAAUGAGCUAUUUUAAAUAUCUCUAUUACAAAUAACUUUACUUUUCGUAGCUUUACAUCAUGAAAUUGAUAAUGAUCAUUCAAACAAAAACAUAUAUUAGUUUCAUACCUAUAUUAGUUUGAUAGUAUUUACCUUCAUUUGAUAAAGAUUUUUAAUAUCUAUGCGGCUAUAGAAGAAAUCAAAUUAUAAAUCAAUAUUUUCGACACAUGAAUUAUUUGCACUUUGAACCGACAUUGCUCAAAUUCACAUGUAGAAAAUGUAAAAGAAACAAGAAAAUGAAGUUGAAUGUUCUUUAUACUAAAUGAUUUACAUAACUAAAUUUUGACGUUCAAAAAAUCCAUUAUGUUUUGUAUAUUCCAUCAGUUCAAUUUUAGUUCUACUCGUCACAAACAUAUUACCAGCACAAGCAUAUUACCGCACUAAUUAUAUAUAAUUUUAAGAUAUUGAACUAACUAGUAUGAAAUUUACGUGUAACUCACGUUUCCAGAGAUAUUUCAACAUGCGUGGUUCUUGUCAAUUUUUAAAAAGUUAAAGAUUAAAUUAGUCAAUACAUACAAUAUCAUACAUAGGUGGCAUAAGAUGGGUAUAGAAUAUCAAGCGUGUGCUCUGCAUAUUACUUCAUCUGUCAACAUUGACACCCUCUGUAUAUGAGAAGUUUUUAUACAUUGAUUACAUCUCCUUCAGCAGUCCAUAAUUCUCUCACAGAUUUUUAAUUGCAUGUUUAUAAUGGAGUUUCAGCAGCUGCACAUCUUCUUCUUUCAUGAGAUUUAAUUCAUAAAGACUUCUAUUGAAAAAUAGAGUGUCAUCAAUUGGAUCAAAAUCGUGUACCUGUAGAUUAUUAGCAAACACAAGUGAGCAGGGCAAGUCAGGGAUCACAACAAAUAAGACUAUAUCCUGGCUGACCUCCAAUUUGAUUCAUAAUAUGUAAAUAUAAAAUACAUAGAUAUCGUUAAAUUUAUGGAUAUAAAUUUAAAUAUAUUGUUGACUUUUCAAUUAGUAUUAUGGUUAUUUUUUAAAAAUAAAACCGACUUUAAAGAGUCAUUUUGUGUGAGGUAUAAAAUAUAACAAUUUCAGAAUAAAAUGUAAGAUUAUUUUAUUU